rnacentral:misc_RNA from 1 species
GAUGAAGAACGUAGCGAAAUGCGAUAAGUAAUGUGAAUUGCAGAAUUCAGUGAAUCAUCGAAUCUUUGAACGCAUCUUGCGCUCCUUGGUAUUCCGAGGAGCAUGCCUGUUUGAGUGUCAUUAAAUUCUCAACCUUACUAGCUUUUGCGAAGUAAGGCUUGGAUGUGGGGGUUACUUUUGCUGGCUUCUAACGAGGUCGGCUCCCCUGAAAUGCAUAGCGGUGCCCUUGUGGACCCCGACUAUCAGUGUGAUAAUUAUCUACGCUGUUAGGCGCCCACGCUUUAGUGCUGCUUCUAACCGUCCGGUUUCUGGACAACACAAAUGACAUUUCUGACCUCAAAUCAGGUAGGACUACCCGCUGAACUUAAGCAUAUCAAUAAGCGGAGGA